rnacentral:rRNA from 1 species
ACGAACGCUGGCGGCGCGCCUAACACAUGCAAGUCGAACGGAGCUGUUUUCUCUGAAGUUUUCGGAUGGAAGAGAGUUCAGCUUAGUGGCGAACGGGUGAGUAACACGUGAGCAACCUGCCUUUCAGUGGGGGACAACAUUUGGAAACGAAUGCUAAUACCGCAUAAGACCACAGUGUCGCAUGGCACAGGGGUCAAAGGAUUUAUCCGCUGAAAGAUGGGCUCGCGUCCGAUUAGCUAGAUGGUGAGGUAACGGCCCACCAUGGCGACGAUCGGUAGCCGGACUGAGAGGUUGAACGGCCACAUUGGGACUGAGACACGGCCCAGACUCCUACGGGAGGCAGCAGUGGGGAAUAUUGCACAAUGGGGGAAACCCUGAUGCAGCGACGCCGCGUGGAGGAAGAAGGUCUUCGGAUUGUAAACUCCUGUCCCAGGGGACGAUAAUGACGGUACCCUGGGAGGAAGCACCGGCUAACUACGUGCCAGCAGCCGCGGUAAAACGUAGGGUGCAAGCGUUGUCCGGAAUUACUGGGUGUAAAGGGAGCGCAGGCGGAUUGGCAAGUUGGGAGUGAAAUCUAUGGGCUCAACCCAUAAAUUGCUUUCAAAACUGUCAGUCUUGAGUGGUGUAGAGGUAGGCGGAAUUCCCGGUGUAGCGGUGGAAUGCGUAGAUAUCGGGAGGAACACCAGUGGCGAAGGCGGCCUACUGGGCACUAACUGACGCUGAGGCUCGAAAGCAUGGGUAGCAAACAGGAUUAGAUACCCUGGUAGUCCACGCCGUAAACGAUGACUACUAGGUGUCGGGGAGCAAAGCUCUUCGGUGCCGCCGCAAACGCAUUAAGUAUUCCACCUGGGGAGUACGUUCGCAAGAAUGAAACUCAAAGGAAUUGACGGGGGCCCGCACAAGCAGUGGAGUAUGUGGUUUAAUUCGAAGCAACGCGAAGAACCUUACCAGGUCUUGACAUCGGAUGCAUACCUAAGAGAUUAGGGAAGUCCUUCGGGACAUCCAGACAGGUGGUGCAUGGUUGUCGUCAGCUCGUGUCGUGAGAUGUUGGGUUAAGUCCCGCAACGAGCGCAACCCUUAUCGUUAGUUACUACGCAAGAGGACUCUAGCGAGACUGCCGUUGACAAAACGGAGGAAGGUGGGGAUGACGUCAAAUCAUCAUGCCCCUUAUGAGCAGGGCUACACACGUGCUACAAUGGCGUAAACAAAGGGAAGCGAACCUGCGAGGGUAAGCAAAUCUCAAAAAUAACGUCUCAGUUCGGAUUGUAGUCUGCAACUCGACUACAUGAAGCUGGAAUCGCUAGUAAUCGCGAAUCAGAAUGUCGCGGUGAAUACGUUCCCGGGUCUUGUACACACCGCCCGUCACACCAUGGGAGUCAGUAACGCCCGAAGUCAGUGACCCAACCGUAAGGAGGGAGCUGCCGAAGGUGGGACCGAUAACUGGGGUG